rnacentral:rRNA from 1 species
UACGAACCGUACAAACGUUAUUCGGAAUCACUGGGCUUAAAGGGCGCGUAGGCGGCCUGUUAAGUCGGACGUGAAAUCCCUCGGCUCAACCGGGGAACUGCGUCCGAUACUGGCGGGCUUGAAUUCGGGAGAGGGAUGUGGAAUUCCAGGUGUAGCGGUGAAAUGCGUAGAUAUCUGGAGGAACACCGGUGGCGAAGGCGGCAUCCUGGACCGACAUUGACGCUGAGGCGCGAAAGCCAGGGGAGCAAACGGG